rnacentral:rRNA from 1 species
GCGUGGGUGAAGAAGGCCUGCGGGUUGUAAAGCCCUUUCGGCAGGGAAGAAAAGGCGAGCGCUAAUACCGCUUGCUCUUGACGUUACCUGCAGAAGAAGCACCGGCUAACUCCGUGCCAGCAGCCGCGGUAAUACGGAGGGUGCAAGCGUUAAUCGGAAUUACUGGGCGUAAAGCGCGCGUAGGCGGUUUCGCAAGUCGGGUGUGAAAUCCCCGGGCUUAACCUGGGAACUGCAUCCGAUACUGCGUGACUUGAGUAUGAUAGAGGGAAGCGGAAUUCCGGGUGUAGCGGUGAAAUGCGU